UACGGAGGGUGCAAGCGUUGUCCGGAUUUACUGGGUUUAAAGGGUGCGUAGGCGGUUGAUUAAGUCAGUGGUGAAAUAUUCAUGCUUAACAUGAAGACUGCCAUUGAUACUGGUUAACUUGAGUGUGAUUGGGGUACUCGGAAUUUAUGGUGUAGCGGUGAAAUGCAUAGAUACCAUAAGGAACACCGAUAGCGUAGGCAGGGUACCAAGUCAUUACUGACGCUGAGGCACGAAAGCGCGGGUAUCAAACAGGAUUAGAUACCCUGGUAGUCCGCGCCGUAAACGAUGUACACUCGAUGUUGGCGAUACAUGGUCAGCGUCUUAGCGAAAGCGUUAAGUGUACCACCUGGGGAGUACGCUCGCAAGAGUGAA
rnacentral:rRNA from 1 species